GGUCCAUUCCCUUCCGCUUUGUUUAACUGCAAACAACUGCAAAUGUUAUGGAUGUCGUCCAAUAGAUUCACAGGAAGCGUACCUUCAGAAAUUGAAGGCUUAAGUAUGCUCACAGAGUUAUAUCUUCACGACAACAGUUUUGAAGGAAGAUUACCUCCAGAAAUUGGGAACUUAACCAUGCUCAAAGUGUUAUACAUUGGCUAUAACAACUUUGGAGGUGCAAUACCAAGUGAAAUUGGUAAUCUACAAAACCUUGAGGUCUUG